rnacentral:antisense_RNA from 1 species
GCUUCCGCCCUGCGCGCUAACCGAAGACGGGAGCUCGAGAGCUUGAUCCUGCGCGAGUUUACAGACUGCCCUCUUCCCUUUUUGCAUCGAAGACCACAACUCCCAAGAGUUAAUGCGUCGGCCCGGGACUACAUCUCCCGGCAUGCAUCGCCGGCGGGUCCGCGAGUUCUCACCAUCGCAGCUGGACUAUUAGCGGGGGCCCUAGCGCUCUUGUGGUUUGUUUCGGCAGUAUCUGAAUGUCAGCUUUUGGCACUUCUGGUCGCUCUGAGCCUCCUACUCGCAUUCCUGGAGCAAGUUUGCCAGACUAGUCAAAGAAUCCUGCGUCAAAAUCAAGAGAACGAACAAGCCUUCAUUGCCAUGGCACAUUUAUUAUAAAAAGAAAGGGAGAGAUGUUGCGGGAAGUCAGGGACCCCGAACGGAGGGACCAGCUGAAGCCAUGGCAGAAGAACAUAAAUUGUGAAGAUUUCAUGGACAUUUAUUAGUUCCCCAAUCAAUACCCUUGUGAUUUCCUAUGCCUGUCUUUACUUUAAUCUCUUAAUCCCGUCAUCUUCGUAAACUGAGGAGGAUGUAUGUCGCCUCAGGACCCUGUGAUGAUUGUGUUAACUGCACAAAUUGUAGAGCAUUUGUGUUUGAACAAUAUGAAAUCUGGGCACCUUGAAAAAAGAACAGGAUUAACAGUGAUGUUCACAGAACAAGAGAGAUAACCUUAAACUCUGACUGCCG